GCUUGUCUCAAAGAUUAAGCCAUGCAUGUCUAAGUAUAAACUGCUUUAUACUGUGAAACUGCGAAUGGCUCAUUAAAUCAGUUAUAGUUUAUUUGAUGGUACUUACUUACUCGGAUAACCGUAGUAAUUCUAGAGCUAAUACGUGCGUAAAUCCCGACUUCUGGAAGGGACGUAUUUAUUAGAUAAAAGGCCGACCGGGCUCUGCCCGACUCGCGGUGAAUCAUGAUAACUUGACGGAUCGCAUGGGCUUGUCCCGGCGACGUUUCAUUCAAAUUUCUGCCCUAUCAACUGUCGAUGGUACGGUAUUGGCCUACCAUGGUGUUCACGGGUGACGGAGAAUUAGGGUUCGAUUCCGGAGAGGGCGCCUGAGAGACGGCGACCACAUCCAAGGAAGGCAGCAGG
rnacentral:rRNA from 1 species